rnacentral:rRNA from 1 species
UACGGGGGGGGCAAGCGUUGUUCGGAAUUACUGGGCGUAAAGGGCUCGUAGGCGGCCCUCUCAGUCGGAUGUGAAACCCCCAGGCUUAACCUGGGAACGGCAUCCGAUACUGGAGGGCUUGAAUUCGGGAGAGGGAUGCAGAAUUCCAGGUGUAGCGGUGAAAUGCGUAGAUAUCUGGAGGAACACCGGUGGCGAAGGCGGCAUCCUGGACCAACACUGACGCUGAGGAGCGAAAGCCAGGGGAGCAAACGGG